AACGCGAAGAACCUUACCAGGUCUUGACAUCCCUCUGAAUCCACUAGAGAUAGUGGCGGCCUUCGGGACAGAGGAGACAGGUGGUGCAUGGUUGUCGUCAGCUCGUGUCGUGAGAUGUUGGGUUAAGUCCCGCAACGAGCGCAACCCUUAUAUUUAGUUGCCAGCACAUUAUGGUGGGCACUCUAGAUAGACUGCCGGUGACAAACCGGAGGAAGGUGGGGAUGACGUCAAAUCAUCAUGCCCCUUAUGACCUGGGCUACACACGUACUACAAUGGCCGGUACAACGGGCUGCGAAAUCGCGAGAUGGAGCCAAUCCCACCAAAGCCGGUCUCAGUUCGGAUUGCAGGCUGCAACCCGCCUGCAUGAAGUCGGAAUUGCUAGUAAUCGCGGAUCAGCAUGCCGCGGUGAAUACGUUCCCGGGCCUUGUACACACCGCUAGUC
rnacentral:rRNA from 1 species